AGAGGAAAGAGCUCAAAGUUGGAAACUGUUUGGCUUAGCUAAACCGUAUUGUAAACUGUAGAAACAUUUUCCUGGCACACCAGAUUAAUAAGUCCUUUGGAACAAGGCAUCAUGGAGGGUGAGAAUCCCGUCUUUGAUCUGAGUAGUUGUCUUUUGUGAUAUGUUUUCAAAGAGUCAGGUUGUUUGGGAAUGCAGCCUAAAUUGGGUGGUAAAUCUCACCUAAAGCUAAAUAUUUGCGAGAGACCGAUAGCGAACAAGUACCGUGAGGGAAAGAUGAAAAGAACUUUGAAAAGAGAGUUAAACAGUAUGUGAAAUUGUUAAAAGGGAACCGUUUGGAGCCAGACUGGUUUGCUUGUAAUCAACCUAGAAUUCGUUUUGGGUGCACUUGCAGGCUAUACCUGCCAACAACAGUUUGAUUUGGAGGAAAAAAUUAAUAGGAAUGUAGCCUCUCGAGGUGUUAUAGCCUAUUAUCAUACUCUGGAUUGGACUGAGGAACGCAGCGAAUGCCUUUAGGCAAGAUUGCUGGGUGCUUUCGCUAAUAAAUGUUAGAAUUUCUGCUUCGGGUGGUGCUAAUGUUUAAAGGAGGAACACAUCUAGUAUAUUUUUUAUUCGCUUAGGUUGUUGGCUUAAUGACUCUAAAUGAC
rnacentral:rRNA from 1 species